GACGAACGCUGGCGGCAUGCCUAAUACAUGCAAGUCGAGCGAACAGAUGAAGUGCUUGCACUUCUGACGUUAGCGGCGAACGGGUGAGCAACACGUAAGGAAUCUACCUAUAAGCGGGGGAUAACAUUCGGAAACGGGUGCUAAUACCGCAUAAUAUCUUCUUCCGCAUGGAAGGAGAUUGAAAGACGGCUCUGCUGUCACUUAUAGAUGACCUUGCGGUGCAUUAGUUAGUUGGUGGGGUAACGGCCUACCAAGACGAUGAUGCAUAGCCGACCUGAGAGGGUGAUCGGCCACAUUGGGACUGAGACACGGCCCAAACUCCUACGGGAGGCAGCAGUAGGGAAUCUUCCGCAAUGGGCGAAAGCCUGACGGAGCAAUGCCGCGUGAGUGAAGAAGGCCUUCGGGUCGUAAAACUCUGUUAUAAGAGAAGAACAAAUUGUAGAGUAACUGCUACAGUCUUGACGGUAUCUUAUCAGAAAGCCACGGCUAACUACGUGCCAGCAGCCGCAGUAA
rnacentral:rRNA from 1 species